AUAAUUCAACAGUACAAUCCUGCACAUAUGCCCCUUUCUAUGUAGACUUACAUGUAAGCAAGUCUCACAUGGGCCUAGCUUUAUAGGUAAGUGGCCCUUAAACAGCAGCAUCUCCGUGUGAUUGAAGAUCAGGAGGCCCAUGGAAGUCCAAGAUAAAGAUGAAAAAGAGCUCUUCUGGUGUCUACAGCUGAUUAUUUCUACAGGAAGAACAUGGAAGUUUAUUUCUUAUGCUCCCGAAGACAAACACUCUUUAAAGAGGCUCAUCGACAAGGACAUGUAUUAUGAGCCAGACACCCCAGCAACCAGAGGUUUAUCCCUAAAUUGAAACAUGACACUCUUGAAAUGUUUAGCUCAAAAAAGAAAGGAGGAAAAAAACAAAAGGGAAGAAAAAGGGAAAAGUCACCAGAUCCACUAUGAGCAGUAAAAGCUGAUCGUCGAUCCUGUGGUGCAGACGCCGAGGAGACCCCUCUAAGGUGACACCUGUGGGAGUCUGGCCGUGACUGUCUGCUCCAUGUCUGCUUGUCGGAGAACAGUGAGGGCACUUGUUAGUCCUCUUACAAGCUCACCUGUGACCACUCAGCUGGAGACAACAGACUGCCACCCUGCUGUGUUCACUGAGACAGAAGACCUACCUGCUGUUUCCAUCAAUGCUGUGCCGACAGAGCAGUCUCGCGACUAUUGUAAAAGGGACAUUUCAAUCCUAUGUGAAACAUUCUCUCUGGGGGUAUAUAACCAGUCUGUGCACCCCACUUCUUUGGUGUCCUUUCUUCCUUCGGGAAGAAAGGCCCCGGGUUAUAAUCCUCAGAUUUAAGCUCAGAAUAAACUCACCCAAAUUUUCAUUUAUAGAUUGGUUAUGGAUUAUUUUCGUCG
rnacentral:lncRNA from 1 species